CCUACGGGAGGCUGCAGUAGGGAAUAUUGGUCAAUGGACGCAAGUCUGACCCAGCCACGCCGCGUGAAGGAUGACUGCCCUAUGGGUUGUAAACUUCUUUUGUAUGGGAAGAAACCUCCGAACGUGUUCGGAGCUGACGGUACCAUAAGAAUAAGCAUCGGCUAACUCCGUGCCAGCAGCCGCGGUAAUACGGCGGAUGCAAGCGUCAUCCGGAUUCAUGGGUGUGAAAGCGUGGAAUUAAGUCAGAGGUGAAAGCUCGCAGCUUAACUGUGAAAAUGCCAUUGAAACUGAUUUUCUUGAGUUCGAUUGAGGUAGAUGGAAUGUAUCAUGUAGCGGUGAAAUGCUUAGAUAUGAUACAGAACACCAAUUGCGAAGGCAGUCUACUAAGUCGAUACUGACGCUGAGGCACGAAAGCAUGGGGAGCAAACAGGAUUAGAUAACCCAGUAGUC
rnacentral:rRNA from 1 species